CCUACGGGUGGCAGCAGUGGGGAAUAUUGGACAAUGGGGGGAACCCUGAUCCAGCCAUGCCGCGUGUGUGAAGAAGGCCCUCGGGUUGUAAAGCACUUUCAGUGAGGAAGAACGCCUGGUGGUUAAUACCCAUCAGGAAAGACAUCACUCACAGAAGAAGCACCGGCUAACUCCGUGCCAGCAGCCGCGGUAAUACGGAGGGUGCGAGCGUUAAUCGGAAUUACUGGGCGUAAAGCGCGCGUAGGUGGCUUGAUAAGCCGGUUGUGAAAGCCCCGAGCUCAACCUGGGAACGGCAUCCGGAACUGUCAAGCUAGAGUGCAGGAGAGGAAGGUAGAAUUCCCGGUGUAGCGGUGAAAUGCGUAGAGAUCGGGAGGAAUACCAGUGGCGAAGGCGGCCUUCUGGACUGACACUGACACUGAGGUGCGAAAGCGUGGGUAGCAAACAGGAUUAGAUACCCCUGUAGUC
rnacentral:rRNA from 1 species